GGCAUUUUUCUCUAAAUCGGCAGUAAAUACAGCUGAGUAAAAUUAGCUUGGUUUUCUUCCUUCUUUUGUAACUGAACUGUUUUUAUUAAAAAUCCUAUUUGAAUAUGUAGAAAAAGUGGGGAUGUCCUGUAAUAUAUCGUAGCUUUUCUUGUUUACAGGGUACUGAGAAAAUACGUCUCCCUUAGAGUCCCACGGAAAGGUUCUCAGUGCGCUCUCUAUCAAGUGCUAUGAGUCUUGAUAAAUUGGAGAAGAGCCCAAGAGAAAUUUUUCAUCCCUUGAUAUAAAAGGGACCGGUGAAUUUUAACUUUGGAGUCCCCUAUGCUAAGGAUGCUCAGCUUACAGGUGAUGAAAUGUUCAGUAAUGUAUUUGCUGCAGCUCUGCUUACCCAAGCUUUGGGUUCCUUCUGUCCCACUGGGAGUUGCCCAGUUUGGUUGCAUCUGGUGAAAUUCACCCUGAGACCUUACAGAACUAGCUCCAACUACGUGAGAGCCAUUUGCAGUUCUCUCCAGACACCUGGAGAAUGGGUGACGUUUCUGAGGAUCCGGCGAGCGUGCUUCUAUCAAAACUCAGUCUGUGAAAUUCCUGGGGAAAACCCUUCUGUGUCCUGAAGGGUUCAAACUCUGGUGAGGAUCCAGUUAUCAGGUGCUCACCUGGAUGGUUCCAGCUCCCAAAGGGAAAGACUCUCGUAUCCUUGUCGUCGGGCUCGGUGCUGUCCAAGAAGAUACAGAGACUAAAAAAAUCAUAAGAAGCAAAAUAUGACUGCAGGGAAAAGAAGCUGGAGAGAACAGAAGACUCAUCACAGCGGGACAGCGUGAGGACUGAAAGUGUAAGAAGAUGUGGAGGGAAAGAGAAUCUGACAGGAGCAGCGAACGCACGAGUGCACGAAUUUUGCUUUUUGCUUGGAUGUAAACUCAGGAGUUGAGAGGAAUUUGGGAGUGAGAAGGGACAUUUCAGAAGGAGAAGAAGAAAAAGAGGUUGUUGUU